rnacentral:rRNA from 1 species
GUGCUUAACACAUGCAAGUCGAACGAUGAUGCCCAGCUUGCUGGGUGGAUUAGUGGCGAACGGGUGAGUAACACGUGAGUAACCUGCCCUUGACUUCGGGAUAACUCCGGGAAACCGGGGCUAAUACCGGAUAUGAGCCGUCCUCGCAUGGGGGUGGUUGGAAAGUUUUUCGGUCAGGGAUGGGCUCGCGGCCUAUCAGCUUGUUGGUGGGGUGAUGGCCUACCAAGGCGACGACGGGUAGCCGGCCUGAGAGGGCGACCGGCCACACUGGGACUGAGACACGGCCCAGACUCCUACGGGAGGCAGCAGUGGGGAAUAUUGCACAAUGGGCGAAAGCCUGAUGCAGCGACGCCGCGUGAGGGAUGAAGGCCUUCGGGUUGUAAACCUCUUUCAGCAGGGAAGAAGCGCAAGUGACGGUACCUGCAGAAGAAG